CAUCGCUCCUCACUCAACGAAGACGGAAAAGGAAGGAAUUGCUUAAGUAAGGGGAGCAGCUUCACUCGCUGAGGCAAGAAAGAGAAAGAAGGAAUGAAUUGCUUCGAAAAGCAGUUUUUAAGGAUAAAGGAAUAGUGUUCCAGCGGCCUGAAACAAAAAGCGAGAUGCCAGUGGGGAUAGACCCGGCAUUAAUAGAAAGUGAACGAGCAAGACCGGGAG
rnacentral:lncRNA from 1 species